rnacentral:rRNA from 1 species
UACGGGGGGAGCAAGCGUUGUUCGGAUUUACUGGGCGUAAAGGGCGCGUAGGCGGCCUCCGCAAGUCGACUGUGAAAUCUCCGGGCUUAACCCGGAAAGGUCAGCCGAUACUGCGGGGCUAGAGUGCGGAAGGGGCAACUGGAAUUCUUGGUGUAGCGGUGAAAUGCGUAGAUAUCAAGAGGAACACCUGCGGCGAAGGCGGGUUGCUGGGCCGACACUGACGCUGAAGCGCGAAAGCUAGGGGAGCGAACGGG